rnacentral:tRNA from 1 species
GCCUAGCUGGCUCAGUCAGUGGAGCAUGUGACUGCUGAUCUUGGGGUUGUGAGUUCGAGCCCCACUUUGGGUG